GUUUGAUCUCAGACCGCCGUGCUAGCAAUCAGCGAGACUCCAUGGGUGUAGGACCCCCCAUUCCCAGCCAGAUGUGGGAUAUAAUCUCGUGGUGCGCCGUUUUUUAAGCUCGUGGGAAAUGCGCAGUAUUUGGGUGGGAGUGACCCGAUUUUCCAGGUGCGUCCGUCACCCCUUUAUUUGACUAGGAAAGGGAACUCCGUGACCCCUUGCGCUUCCUGAGUGAGGCAAUGCCUCGCCCUGCUUCGGCUCACGCACGGUGCACGCACCCACUGACCUGCGCCCACUGUCUGGCACUCCGUAGUGAGAUGAACCCGGUACCUCAGGUGGAAAUGAAGAAAUCACCCGUCUUCUGCGUCGCUCAGGCUGGGAGCUGUAGACCGGAGCUGUUCCUAUUCGGCCAUCUUGGCUCCUCCCCGUGACUUUCAAAUAAAACUAAUAUCCCAGAUGGCUGACUAGAUACAGCCAGAAGGAACAUCUGUCACUGAGAAAUUGGGACAUCAGGAAUACUGGCACACCAUGAGUAGACCUUCGGAGGGAAGGCAUUGAGAAUGGAUGGAGAGAGGACACAGAUGCUGGGUUGAAGCGGGAGGAAGCUGGGAAUCCUGCACAGGGCUACUGAGCACUGGGAAAUGUUCCUGGCCCCCAGAAAUUUCUGGGGAAAGGCAACACAGAUGGCGCUGGAGGAACCAACAGAGGAACUUACGCAGAA
rnacentral:lncRNA from 1 species